rnacentral:rRNA from 1 species
UACAGAGGGUGCGAGCGUUAAUCGGAAUUACUGGGCGUAAAGGGCGCGUAGGCGGCCUUCUAAGUCGAACGUGAAAUCCCCGGGCUCAACCCGGGGAACUGCGUCCGAGACUGGAAGGCUCGAAUCCGGGAGAGGGAUGUGGAAUUCCAGGUGUAGCGGUGAAAUGCGUAGAUAUCUGGAGGAACAUCGGUGGCGAAGGCGGCAUCCUGGACCGGUAUUGACGCUGAGGCGCGAAAGCCAGGGGAGCAAAGCGGG